UUUGUUCAAUAUUACCAAGAGGAAUUUUGACAACUGAUCUGCAUGGAGCAAAUUGUCACUUUUACUUACGGAAUAAUCGAGCAGAAUAUUUUUCCGAAAGUAAAGUGACAGCUCCCAUUACUUUGCGUGGGAACCUUACAAAUGCCAAUUUUGUUUUUUGUUCUUUUCAUGUGGAUACUGUUGUAAGAAUUUUGUUGCGAUUCUUUACUUUUCCGAUUCAGUGAACGGAAUUUAACAUGUGAUUGAGAUAGAAAAAGAAAUUUCUUUUGAACACGAUACCAACCUUUAAACUGUCAAACUAACCAAACACUUUCUUGUUUGUUUUGGCUAGGUUUUGCCUUUGCCAUUUUUUGCCGCAAUUAUCUGCUGAGUGCUGACGAGCCGGGAAAACAAAAAUCGUGCCAAUCACCUUGUGAUAAAUAAUUAAAAUUAGUUUGUGUCACAAACUCUUCGAAUGGAAUUUACUCGCUGGCGAUUUCAUCGAUUUCUAAUACAGAACCUAUACGAUCCUCCAUCGAUGAAUGCAAAAAAAAAGCCCCUCCAGGUACGCGUCUCAUGGCGGGAUGGUUCCGCAGGAGAUAAUUCAUUUCCGGGCUGGCACAGUUCCUCGAAAUCGAAAGAUAUAACCUGGCAUUCCUAAUAACGGCGAAAACAAAUGGCGCGAUAUUUGGAUGGCUGCGAUGCGAAUCCUAAAAAUGAAUGAAACAUGUUCACCCUAUUAAAUCCGGUUUUGGAAGCUCGGAUAAAGCAAUGUUGAAACGACUCCUUGAUGGGAUGUUUUUUCACGUUUGUGUUUGUGGUCCAUAAAUAAUAAAAUUUUGAAAU